rnacentral:snRNA from 1 species
GAAAAUUUGCUCUUUUAGUAUUUCUCCAGUAGGUUUCCUCAAUGAGGAAAUGUCUAC